GCGCCACUCGCUUCUGGGAGCUGGAACGGUGUGAACCCGUCGAAGAUUCGGAGGUCGUCCCCGUAAACAGGGAGGACAACCGCGAGGCA
rnacentral:SRP_RNA from 10 species